CCUACGGGUGACAGCAGUAGGGAAUCUUUCACAAUGGGCGAAAGCCUGAUGGAGCAACGCCGCGUGCAGGAUGAAGGCCUUCGGGUUGUAAACUGCUUUUAUAAGCGAGAAAUAUGAUGGUAACUUAUGAAUAAGGAUCGGCUAACUACGUGCCAGCAGCCGCGGUCAUACGUAGGAUCCGAGCAUUAUCCGGGGUGACUGGGUGUAAAGAGUUGCGUAGGUGGCAUAAUAAGUAGCUAGUGAAAUCUGGUGGCUCAACCAUUCAGACUAUUAGCUAAACUGUUAAGCUCGAGACCGUUAGGGGUAACUGGAAUUUCUAGUGUAGGAGUGAAAUCCGUAGAUAUUAGAAGGAACACCAAUAGCGUAGGCAGGUUGCUGGGACGGGUCUGACACUAAGGCACGAAAGCGUAGGGAGCAAACGGGAUUAGAGACCCUAGUAGUC
rnacentral:rRNA from 1 species